ACCAGACUGAGACCUCAUGAGCCCCUGAAGGGACAAGCCUCCCCCUCCAACAGGCACACCUCUGGGACCUGACCCGACGCCUCCACUUAUAGAUGCCCCCCUGUAGACACCACUGCGUCUGCAGUGGGGUCAGCCGAAAGCCCCCAGGCUCAGGGCUGACUGGGUGGCACCAACUGGGGCCCUGCAGCUGUCCUGGCCAACACACUUGCCCAGCAAUCAUGGGGGCAGGCUGCCACUGAGCCCAAGGGGCCAGCCAGCCUCAGGAGUCCAGGGGACAUGGGGUUUCCCCCUCAGAACACAAGUCAACAGUGAAUUGUUUGUGCAAAAUGAGCUGAACUCUGGACUAGCUCAGACUCUGCUUAGAGCCCCCUGCGCCCCCUGGCAAAGGCCUGCCAGCUGUCCCACAUGCAUACUGCCUCUUCCCAGGGAUGCUCCCAGCAGGAGGGCGGGCGUGAGGUCGUCCUCUAGGCCCAGCAGAGAACCUUAACAGGCAGGGUGCGCUCCUGCUGGGGCCUGUCCUUGGGGGCAGGGGUCCCCACCGCUCUGUGGGCCCUCCCCUGGGAAGCACAUGGACCCCCAACUCCACUUGGGCAGCCGUCCAGGGCCAGGGAGGGCUCUGAGGAGUCAGGAGGGGACGGGCAGCCCUGGGGCGUCCUAGCGCACAGCCGCUCACGGCGGGGUCACAGGCACGAAGGUGCCAGGUAAGGCAGCUCUGCGUGGGCUGGGCCGCCACCCCCACCGUUCAGUGCCGGCUGCUGCCCCUCUAGGCCUCAGUCUCUCCGUAAUUCUCACCAGCCUGCAGCCUCCAAGGGCCCGUUAGAGAAAGAACGUGUGCAAGUGAACUGCGCUCGGGGACCCAAAGCUGCGGUGCCCAGUGUCCAGACGCCCUGGAGAAGAUGGGAGGAGGAAGCGGGGCCCAGACGCCCUGGGAGCCCAGCCUUCAAGAGGUGUGCACGCGUGCUCCUGGCUGAGGCCAGACGGGGACAGACCACCCCCAGGUGGCAUCCUCAGAAGUCACUGGAGGCUUUAGGGCAGCGGGCCCACCCCGCUGCUGGGGCAGGCCACGGCCGCCCCUCACGCAGAAGCACUGGCUCAGUCUGUGUUUACAGCGAAAAGCCCACCUCAGGAGCCUUGGAUCUAAAGGUUUCUCCGGCCGGCCGGCAGGCCCACGCCGCCAGGAAAUUUCAUUAACGCUGGAAAAUAGGAAAGGUAUUAAGCGUGGGUAAUGAAGGCGGGGCGAGCGGUGCCUUCAGAUGGCCCUCUCUCCCGCCUUUGUAAUGGGAGGCAUGAACUCUCUCUUCAAAUCCAUUUCUAAUCCAUUUGAAAUACUACAGCAAAUUAUCUUUCCUUCAGCCCGAAAGCGGCCAGCCAAUUUACUCCGAAUAGCAGUGACAAUGCCCCGGGAUUUAUCACCAUAACCUUGACUACACCAGGGUGAGGGCUGGGCCUCCCCUCACCCCCCCCCCGGGGGGGCACAAAGGACAGGUGGGGGGAGAUAACGUUUUAAAUGAAAAGCGGUGGUAAUGGGGAGAAGACACACAAUGCCACAAAAGUGGGUUUCGAGGAAAAGCUGCCGUCCCCAGUCUGCUGCACGGCCAGCAGCUGGGAGUUCCCGGUGCAAGGCCAUCCCAGGGUGUGGAGGGUGACAGUGGGGCCAGCACAUGCUGGGCUGGUGAAAGAUCCCAGGGAAAAGGAACCCCAAGGAGGGCAUGGCCAGCACAGGCGGAGGCUGUCCCUGGGAAGCGGGGGCCAGUGUGGGUGUGCCCGCUCUGGCAGGCCCGCCCUGGACACCCCAGCGCCCUGAGCCCUGAGCCACCACCCAGGCAGGUCCAUGCAGUCCCAACACUGCGCAGGGCACCUCUGCCCACUACACAGGCUGCACAGCUGAGAUGGACCCCCCAAGGCGUCCGCAGCUACGGAGCCUGGCAGCAAGGACACAGGUACGCACACGAGAAGCCGACAGGCCGGCCGGCCCCUGAACCCGCAGGCACACGGGGCACACACACCAUUCACCCGUGACAGGACCUGAGAAGCCUUUCCAAGGUCCGGCUGCUCACCCACCCCACCCUGGGUGCUGCGCCCGGUGGGCUGCCUCCCCUGCACCCCAGACCCUGGGCACAUCAGAUGAGGGCUGGGGGAGGGCUGCUCCUGACCAAGGGCAGACUCAGGGGCAGGAGGGCCAUGAGGGGAGGAGGUAGCCUCGCCCCAGGGGCCCCGGGGCAGCCUUCAGACAGACUUGGGACGCCCCAGGCAGGGCGGGUGCCCCACCUCCUGACCAGGGGCAGCCGCCUUUCAACACACACCGCCUCGGCAGCCCGGCUUUUCCUCCGCUGUCAUGGCUGAGGGGACCUCAGCCCCCCACUCUGUCUAUUCAAUGCUGAGGCUUUCCAAGGCCUUUCAGAGCAGUGUGCCCUGAGGCCAGCCAGGCACACGUCCUAUGGACCGGAGUGGGGCUGGGCACAGACCUUCAUACUGAGCAAGAAGGUGCUGUUUCUUGCAGUGAAGCACCUUGGGCACGGGUCUGUGGGUGGGGGGACGCAGGGCGGGUGACCCCGAGGGCUGGGGCAGGGUCAGCGUGUGGCCGGGCCGCCCAGGCAGUGGUGCCCGGGAGGGAGGCGGGCACGCUGGCUGGGGAGCAGAGAAAACAACCGGGGAGGCAGUUCUCAGGAAAUGGAGCACGACUGCGAAGCUGCAAGGCGAGCAGGGACUGCGCCGUCAGCAGAAGGGCGGCAGGCAGCUCUGCACAGCAAAUUCCAAGUAGGUCAGGCCCUGCGCCACCGUGACAGGCUGCACACUGCUUAGUGGGCUUUCCACAGAAUCGCUGACGGGCCACCGCACACCGCCUGCGAGGGGCGAGCCCCAGCCCCGGCCCCGGCUCCGGCUCCAGCUCCUGCCCCAACCCCGGCUCCGGCACCAGCCCCAGGCCCCAGCCCCGGCUCCUGCCCCGGCCUCCUGCUCCGUGCCCCUAGACCCCCCUGCCCUGGGCUGCUGCAGCCUGUGCCCACUCUGCCCGGCAGGGAUGAAGCUCCAGCCCCCAUGGUAGAGCACAGCUCCCCUCAGACACUCCCAGGUCAGGGCCAGUGCAGGACAGGGCCCCUCACCUCAGGAGCCCACCCCCCCAGGCACACUGGGUGGUCUGUAGGGUGGUUCUGGGUGGAGGCAGAUGGAGUUCCUCAGGUGAGCAGGGCCAGCAGGGUGGGAGGUGAGGGAGAGCCAAAGGCAGGUGUGCCACGCUCCACAGGGGUCUAAGAAGCGGGGCUCAGGCGCCAGUGACACAGCAGAUGGUGAAGGCCUCACGGGACCGUGGCCGCCUGACCUCACAGGACCCUCCUCAAACCAGACUCGCUCCUGGGCUGGGCACCACGCCUGCUGGGGCCAAGCACCCUGCAGCCAUUCCCGCAGCGGCCUGGCUCUCUGCACCCACCUUCCUGAGGUGCUGCUCCCUCCCGAGGGGCCCCCACCAUCUCUUCCUGGUAAUGAACAGAAAUGACAGGCGUCCUGGCCAGCUGGCGCGCUGGUGGGCGACACUGCUUGUGCUGCGUCCGUCUGUUACAAACACUGCAACUCCAUCAUGAGGGGCUGGGCUAUGUCAUGUGCUCACAUCUAUUCAAUUGGUAUUUCGAUCAAUGGAUGCAUUACAAGCUUUCCCUUUAAGAGCCUAAUAAACAACAAGAUGGAAAGUAAAAUUCUCCAUAAAAUGACACUUUUAAAAAUCCAUUUCAGCUGAAACGAGUGGUGUUUUGUAUGUUAGCUGCAAACACAGGCAUUAUUGGGCCUUAACAGCCCCACUUAGGAGGGCCGAGUUCAGCUUGAGGGGCAGAGGGCUGGGGGUCUAGGGCUGGGGUGGGGCCCAGGUUUCACCCUCCAGGCUGGGCUGUCGGCCCAGGACCCCCUCGGCAUGUGACAGCUGG